UACGUAGGGGGCAAGCGUUGUCCGGAUUUAUUGGGCGUAAAGAGCGUGUAGGCGGCCUUACAGGUCAGCUGUGAAAACUCGAGGCUCAACCUCGAGACGUCGGUUGAAACCGUAUGGCUAGAGUACGGAAGAGGCAAGUGGAAUUCCUGGUGUAGCGGUGGAAUGCGCAGAUAUCAGGAGGAACACCUAUAGCGAAGGCAGCUUGCUGGGACGUUACUGACGCUAAGGCGCGAAAGCGUGGGGAGCGAACAGG
rnacentral:rRNA from 1 species